rnacentral:rRNA from 1 species
GUCCACGCCUAACGAUGGGACUAAGUGUCGGAGGUAUCGACCCUCCGGUGCCGCAGCUAACGCAUUAAGUCCCCGCCUGGGAGUACGGCCGCAAGGUUGAAACUCAAAGGAAUUGACGGGCCCGCACAAGCGGUGGAGCAUGUGGUUUAAUUCGACGCAACGCGAAGAACCUUACCCAGACUUGACAUGUGAGUGGUAGUGAACCGAAGGGACGACCCGCAAGGGGAGCUUACACAGGUGCUGCAUGGGCUGUCGU